UCUCCUUUGACCUUCAGAGACUGCAGUCUUCUCCCACGAAGCUGCCCAGCCAAUCGCCGCCUCAGCUGACCGCCAGUGACACCCAAUCAAAACAGCAGCUGCAGCCAGGCCUCAUCAAUCAGCCAAUCAGAAAGGGACAGAGGGUGGGGCUUCAGGUGCUGACAGGUGGCCACGCCCAGGGGGCGGUCCUCUCGUUCUCUGCCCCGCCCAGCUUGCAGCCAUUCUUUGUGGGUGAGCCCGCCCCUUCCGCUGGACACGCCCCCUCCCCGCCGGCACAGUCGGUGUUGGAGGUGUGUCAGGCUCCUGAACAGCACACUCAUUUUGGAUCAGUCUCCCCAGUGCCAGUCAGUGAAUCUGCCAAGCCACCCCUGUCUCCUCUACAGCCCAGCAAGGUAGUACUUGUUCCUGCCUGUCUCCCAACACCUGUCUGUCUCUCAUCAUACAGACAGUGACACAGACGAGAGUCAAGCAGGUUUUGGAGACACAGCCAGUGU